GAAUGGCUCCAAAGAAGACAUGAGACGACACCUCCAUUACUCCUAUUCAUGGAGAUGGCACAGAGGAAAUACAAGAGAAGAAUAUAUUUGCAGAUGCAGAUGAUAGAAGUACAAUCAAUAAAUAUUUAAAGAUAUCAAGGUUUACAGAUGAGGGAACCAAGGUACUCAAAGAAUCUCUCACAAAGGAGGAUUGGAUACUGAUAAUGCUGUUGGAAAUUAUUGUUCAGGGCUCUUAUUCAUAGCCCACUACCUGUUUUGGGUCACCUGGGUCUUUUUUCUCUUGAUACUGUCCUGCAGAACUUAAACUCCAUUUUUCUAAAGCCUCCUUGAAGAUAAGUCAAACAACCUACUUGACAAUCUUUAUAGUUUUAGGG
rnacentral:lncRNA from 1 species